rnacentral:rRNA from 1 species
AAUAGAUACCCCGGUAGUCCACGCCGUAAACGAUGAGUGCUAAGUGUUAGAGGGUUUCCGCCCUUUAGUGCUGCAGCUAACGCAUUAAGCACUCCGCCUGGGGAGUACGGUCGCAAGACUGAAACUCAAAGGAAUUGACGGGGGCCCGCACAAGCGGUGGAGCAUGUGGUUUAAUUCGAAGCAACGCGAAGAACCUUACCAGGUCUUGACAUCCUCUGACAACUCUAGAGAUAGAGCGUUCCCCUUCGGGGGACAGAGUGACAGGUGGUGCAUGGUUGUCGUCAGCUCGUGUCGUGAGAUGUUGGGUUAAGUCCCGCAACGAGCGCAACCCUUGAUCUUAGUUGCCAGCAUUUAGUUGGGUCACUCUAAGGUGACUGCCGGUGACAAACCGGAGGAAGGUGGGGAUGACGUCAAAUCAUCAUGCCCCUUAUGACCUGGGCUACACACGUGCUACAAUGGAUGGUACAAAGGGCUGCAAGACCGCGAGGUCAAGCCAAUCCCAUAAAACCAUUCUCAGUUCGGA